CACACACACACAGAGGAACAUGUACACUUCCCUCCCCCCCAGCACACACACAGAGGAGUGUGUUAAGCUCACCCCCAGCACACACACAGAGGACCAUGCACACUUACCUCCCCCAGCACACAUGCAGAGGAACAUGUAUACUUACCCCUCCAGCACACACACAGAGGAACAUGUACACUUACCCCCCCCCAGCACACAUGCAGAGGAACAUGUACACUUACCCCUCCAGCACACACACAGAGGAGCAUGUACACUUACCUCCCCAGCACACACACAGGCAGAGGAACAUGUACAUUUACCCCCCCC
rnacentral:lncRNA from 1 species